rnacentral:rRNA from 1 species
CUUAGUGGCGGACGGGUGAGUAACGCGUGGGGAACCUGCCCUGUACAGGGGGAUAACACUUAGAAAUAGGUGCUAAUACCGCAUAAGCGCACAGUAUCGCAUGAUACAGUGUGAAAAACUCCGGUGGUACAGGAUGGACCCGCGUCUGAUUAGCUGGUUGGCGGGGUAACGGCCCACCAAGGCGACGAUCAGUAGCCGGCCUGAGAGGGUGAACGGUCACAUUGGGACUGAGACACGGCCCAAACUCCUACGGGAGGCAGCAG